rnacentral:rRNA from 1 species
UACGAAGGGUGCAAACGUUGCUCGGAAUUACUGGGCGUAAAGGGCGCGUAGGCGGCCUGCUAAGUCGGACGUGAAAUCCCCUGGCUCAACCAGGGAACUGCGUCCGAUACUGGCGGGCUUGAAUCCGGGAGAGGGAUGCGGAAUUCCAGGUGUAGCGGUGAAAUGCGUAGAUAUCUGGAGGAACACCGGUGGCGAAGGCGGCAUCCUGGACCGGCAUUGACGCUGAGGCGCGAAAGCCAGGGGAGCAAACGGG